rnacentral:rRNA from 1 species
GGUGAACGCUGGCGGCGUGCCUAAUACAUGCAAGUCGAGCGCCCUGCACAGUGCGCUUCUUAACUACGAGACAGGACACCGAAAUUUGCUCCUAAAGCAAAUUUGGUAUCACUAUCGAAGGGAUGAAAGCCUGGUAAAACAGGCUAAAACAUGAAGAAGCGUAGCGUGCAGGGAGCGGCGAACGGCUGAGUAACACGUUGGAACCUGCCCCAAAGUAAGGGAUAGCUCCGGGAAACCGGGAUUAAUACCUUAUGUGCUCUAUGGAGUAAAGAUUUAUCGCUUUGGGAGGGUCCGCGGCUGAUUAGCUAGUGGUAGGGUAUGGCCUACCAGGCAAUGAUCAGUAGCUGGUCUGAGAGAUGACCAGCCAGAUUGGGACUGAG